UUGCAAAUAGUAAUUGAUGUUUAUUCUUAUUUUAAUACAUUAAAAUUCAUCAUUUUCUUUUUAAAAGCAAUUUUACGCUAAAUUUUAGGAAAAAUCCUGAAUAAAGAUCCAUUUUAUUUUUUUAAAUUUGAUUUUUUCUUGCUAAGGCAUUUUGCAAGGUAAUUUUAGAAAAUUAGCAUAUUAAACAAGUGUGUCAAUUGCAUGUUGAACAAGUGUGCAAAUAAGCAUUAGACAAGUGGUUAAGGAAUGGUAGGACAAGUGUUUAGGGAGGGGUAGGUGUUUGAGACACCUGGAGGUCUAAGAGAGGAGAAAAGGUACGAAAGGCUAAAAAAAAUCGAAGGAAGCUCUUGGCUGGGGGGCAAGCGAGGGAAUGAAAAGGAAAAACAGGGGAAGGUUUUGGGCGGAGCUAAGGGAAGAAAAAACCAGAAAAACAGAGAAGAGGGCAGGGGACGAUGAAAAAUCUGGAGAGCUAAGCAGGGGGCUUCGGCCUUGAGAGGAAAACAAAGGGGCGGCUGAAUCUGGGUGGAGAGAAAAACGCAGAAAAGGGAAAAGAGAAGAGAAUGAAGUUAGGAUUUUUAGGCAAAGGCUUCGGGCUAAAAACAGAGGAUGAACGGCAAAAAAUGAAAAAACAGAGAAGGGGCUGCUAGCAAAAGGAAAAAGGCUGAAAGAAAAACAAAGCAAAAGAAAGAAAACAGGGGAGGAUUCGGCUAAGGAAAGGCUAAAGAACAGAGAAGGGGGCUGCGGAGAGUAAAGGGAACAGAAAACGGAGAAGAUAGCUGAGAGGAAUUUAGGAAGAGCAAGAAACGGAACUAAAAAAAAAAGAAACUGGCAGCCGAAAUCUGGAAUUUGGAGGAGGAAUUUCGGGCAGAGGCAAAGGAACUAAACGCAAAGUGAGGAAACAAAGACCAGGAGGUCCGCCGCAAUCCGAGCUCCGCCACGGCACCUCCACCUCGUGCGCCACCUUUCUUCUCCAGCGCGACCAACAAGCAGCCAACCGCUUGCCCAAGCCACCUCCAGGCCGCACUCGUCGUUGUUGCUGUAUGCUACUCUCCACCUCUGCUGCCGCCUUUCAACUCCCACUGCCGUUGCUGCCACCGUAGCCAUCAAAGCAGCAGGGGCUUCUACUGCCAUCUCCACAGAGCCGUCUACCGUCAGCGCCACCCCCCCAGAUUCAAUUCGACUUCAGAAUUUAUAGCCCUGUAAGUUAUUUUCUUCAAAUUUCAGUUUCUCUCAAACUUCUGAAAUGAGUUUGCCAUGGUAUUAUUUUGGUGCGAAUCCCCUGUUAAUUUGCCUAAACUUCUGAACACGUGAGCUUGUAUACUGUCCGGACUAAAUUUCCUUGGGUUGCUGACAAUUUUGGGGUUGAUUAUCACCCCAAUUGAGCUAAGAAUCGAUGAUAUGCUUAAUGCCCAUUAGAUGUUUGAUGAAAUGCCCAGCUAAAAUUCUGCUUGAGUGAUGAUUAACUUGCGUUUUUGCUUUGAUGUUUUUAUUCUGCGAAGGAAGGCUAAAUGGCCACUGAUAUUCUUUUAAUAUGCAACGGCUUAAUAUGAAUGACUGGGUUGCAUUGAUCAAAGGGGGUUUGAGUUUGUUAAAAAGUUUUGUUUGCUCCGCAUCUGUUUCGUGUGGUUCCUGGGGUGAGUUACCGAAGAAAGAAAUGAAAAAAUUGCAAGAGAACUUCGAGCAGGAUGCAUGAUACUUUCUGAAUUUUUUUAUUUUAGCCCCAACUUUUGUCCAAUUGCAUUACGGCCCAGAAACAUUUGUAAUUGAACGAUUCACAUCCCUAUUGGAUGCUCAUCUCCUCUUGAUAUUUUAGGUGCAUUUCUAAACUUAUUAUUUCUGUGGUUGCGGGUAUAAUUAAACCUUAAUUUGUUUUAGUGGAUUUGUUAUCCUAUUGGGCUAAAGGUUUGCUUGGUGGGUUUUUGGCUGAUGAGUUUUAGUUUGUUUAUUUGAAUUUUUUGGUUUGGGCCAUAGGGUCAUGACCCAUCUGUGUGGUUGGCUAAUUUUGGGCCAAAAUAGUUAAGCUAGCCCAUCUGUUUUUGCUUGGGUUUUUUGGUUGGGCUAGGAAGGGUUGGCCCAAACGAACAAAUAAAAUGGUCCAUUCCCUUCUUGCUUUGAAUUUCCAUUGGGCUGGGAAACUUUGGCCCAAACAAAUAAAGGCAAUAGCCCAGUGGCUUGAUCCACUAAGAAACCAGAAAGCAAAUUUGCAAAUCAGCCCCUGAAUUUCUCCUUAGAUGUAUUGUGGCCCUGGACAUUCUCAACUUCUUUCAAUUCGGUCCUUAAAUUAAUUGUAAUUAAGUCCCUGAACUUUAUUUUUCUUUAAUUUUGACCCCAAAACUUUGUUCGUUUUUGCAAUUAAGUCCCUUCUUCUUUUGACUUCUUAAAUGUGGGUUUUGACAUGAUUCAAUUGAUUCAAUUCAUGCUUAUUUUUAUCCUUUGUGAUUAUUUGCCAAAUAAAUUGGUGCCUUGACCUUUUUAUUAUUUUGGAGGGUAAAUUAGUAAGUUCACUUCAUUGGGGCCCAAUUUCAAGGAAGGUACACUCUACCCUUUUAUUUGCACUUCAUUUGAUUCUACGUGCUCCUACGUGUUACGUGAAUACGCAUGUCUACUCUGCUUUCCUUACCUCCUUGCAUGCAUUUACUUGCUUUUACUUUUAUUUAAGUUUUAUGGGGUAUGUGUACACCUCUUGGCUUGUAAUAGAUAGGGCUCGAAGAGCAUCUGGUCCAUUUCCCCUUCCCCUUUAUGCUUUUAUGGGGUAUGUGUACACCUCUUGGCUUGUAAUAGAUAGGGCUCGGAGAGCAUCUGGUCCAUUUCCCCUUCCCCUUGGUUGCUUGUUUUUAUUGCUACAUGUUUAAUUGCUUUAUUAGGCUCUUGCAUCUAGUCGAGCAUGCUAAGUGUUACGUGUUACGUGUUUACGAGUGUUUUGGCAUGUCUACUUGCUUUCAUAGCCAUGAAUGAAUGGAAUGGAAUGAAUGUACGUCACCACACUAGUCCAACGCUAGUUGUGGCUCAUUAUUUCAUUAGGAAUUCAUAGAAAGGGCUAGUCCAACGCUAGACCCAAUAGGAUUUUUCCUUUAUUUUUCAUUAAUGCAUUAUUUGCCUGUUCACUACAUAUCAUGCAUUUUUUCUUAGUUUUAUCAUCUGGCGUGCUCCUCGAUUCCCCUUUCCCCUCACUUUAGGUCUUGCAUCCCAUACUAGGUAUAGUGUACAUUUGCAUGAGAGUCCCCUUCUGAUAAGGGAAACGAGCGAGUGUGGCUACUCGAUAGCCUUAGCACGCUAGUUUUGCCUUCUAAUCAAAGGGAAAAUCGAAGUCGACAAGUUAGGAGUCAUUCUCAUACCCGACCUGAUGCAUUCCCUUAGGUUCAUUCAUUCUCAUUUAUCACUCACUCAUUCUUUUCAAUUCACAUUUUCCUUUCCUUAUUGUUCAUUUUGAUUUCUACUUCACAAAAUUGCAUUUAAUAUGCACUUAUCACUAUAUUUCAUACACUUGCACACAAACACUUGGAAUUUUCAUACAAUUGCACACGUGCACCUUUUCAUACACUUGCACACAAACACUUGGAUUUUUAAUUUCUUUCAUACACUUCCACACUUGCACAUUUGAGUCUCAUUUGCAUUAAUCGACCUCUAUGGGGUUUUCUUUUGUUGGCCGCCACAAUUCAUGUGGUUUGGGACCAAGAGCCUCAUGAGAGACAUCGUAGAAUUUAGGAUUGCAUUUUUCUUUCCGUUUUGCAUUCAUAUAGUCAUAUCCAACGUACGAACAUAUAUUGGGUAGAAAACUAGGGAAAAUUGGUUUAAGUCACGCAACUAGCCUUGGCUAGGUCAAAGGGGUGCCUUGGAUUCUAUCCUUGCCUUCCCCUUUGUCAAACGUGACCCCCGAACCUUUUUCUUUGGCUUACGUGGACUAGGAGUCGUUUUAAAAAGGGUUUUACUACUUUGUCUUUAAAAAACACUUUUUGGGUGACUUGGUACACCCUAACUCUAUACCAAGUGGCGACUCCAUUUUUGAUACAAAAAACCCUUUUGAACUUCACUUGGCCAAAUCGUCGCAUUCGAAGUCCCAUGGCCUUUUACUUUUCAUUUUACACACGUUCACAC
rnacentral:lncRNA from 1 species